rnacentral:rRNA from 1 species
UAUCCUGGCUCAGGAUGAACGCUGGCGGCGUGCUUAACACAUGCAAGUCGAACGAGAACCAUUGGAUCGAGGAUUCGUCCAAGUGAAGGUGGGGAAAGUGGCGGACGGGUGAGUAACGCGUGAGCAAUCUGCCUUGGAGUGGGGAAUAACGGCUGGAAACAGCCGCUAAUACCGCAUGAUACAGCUGGGAGGCAUCUCCCUGGCUGUCAAAGAUUUAUCGCUCUGAGAUGAGCUCGCGUCUGAUUAGCUAGUUGGCGGGGUAACGGCCCACCAAGGCGACGAUCAGUAGCCGGACUGAGAGGUUGGCCGGCCACAUUGGGACUGAGACACGGCCCAGACUCCUACGGGAGGCAGCAGUGGGGAAUAUUGGGCAAUGGGCGCAAGCCUGACCCAGCAACGCCGCGUGAAGGAAGAAGGCCUUCGGGUUGUAAACUUCUUUUGUCAGGGACGAAGCAAGUGACGGUACCUGACGAAUAAGCCACGGCUAACUACGUG